AGAGCCAAGCAGUCAUCUCCAGUUCAGCAAACCUUUCCUGAGUUUCAGCUGUGUGCCAUGGGCCAGCAAUGCAAGGACGAGUCGGCGCUACCUCGCUUUUGAGAAGCUUAGUUUAAUCAUUUUAAUGUAGAGCUGUGAUAGGGGCAUGUGUCAAGUGCUAAGAAGGAUAAGGUGUGUCAGAAGAGGUGGAAGAUAUCCCAAGAGAAUGUGAACAUGUUCCCAGUUUGGUGGCAUUUGAAAACCUCCACACGAAUGUGACUGACAUGAUGUUAACCUUGUUAGUGGAGAACGUAACUGGCCUGACCAGUGAUGACUUCGAGGUGGAAAUAAUACGAGAUUUUGCUGUUGCUGUGGUUGCCUUUAAAAAGCACACAGACACUAUGAAAUUUGUUUCUGACUGUGCCAGUCAUGAUUUGAGUGAAGGACUUCAGUUGUCUCCAAGACUUCUAGAAGAAACAAAAACAGUCCGGGUUGAAAACGUGCCCCCUGAUGUUGAUGACUACCAGCUACAAAUUUUCUUUGAAAAUCCUUUGCAUGGAGGAGGAAGAGUGGCCCACAUUGAGUGUUUUCCUGAAGAGAGUUCAGCUCUGGUUGAAUUUUGUGACAGAAAAGUGUUAGACACCAUCCUGACCAAGAAACACAACUUCAAUAAGAUGCCGCUCUCUGUCUUCCCCUACUAUCACUCUUUGGGGACAGCCUUGUACGGAAAGGAACAGCCUCUCAUCAAGCUGCCAGCACCAUUUCAAGAGUCGUUGGCGCUGCCUUUGUGGAACUUCUUGCAGAAAAAGACCCAUCUGAGAAAAGAGCUGGAUGAUGAAAUGGCACAGCAUCACUGUUCGCUAACAUGGUCCCAAGUGGACAAUAAAGUUACCAUCAGACCUGCAGCCACCUUAGUCAAUCAAGGAAGACCCAAAAUCAAGACAUGGCAGACGGAUGCUUCGUCAGCACUCUCUGGCAUCAGCUCUAAAUAUACAGUCACUUCACUUAACGUGACUGCAAGAGUGUGGGACGUCAUAAAAAAUGACUUAGAAGAUGAUAGGAUUUUGAUUGAGUUUGAUACCUCUAAGGAGAUUGUAACCUUAACAGGAAAAUCAGACGAUAUCCAAAAUGUUAGUCCACAAUUCAAGGAAUUAAUAGAAAAGACUACUCAAAAAAUUC
rnacentral:lncRNA from 1 species